AUUGAACGCUGGCGGCAUGCUUUACACAUGCAAGUCGAACGGUAACAGGCCGCAAGGUGCUGACGAGUGGCGAACGGGUGAGUAAUGCAUCGGAACGUGCCCAGUCGGGGGGGAUAACGCAGCGAAAGCUGUGCUAAUACCGCAUACGAUCUAUGGAUGAAAGCGGGGGACCGUAAGGCCUCGCGCGAUUGGAGCGGCCGAUGUCAGAUUAGGUAGUUGGAGGGGUAAAGGCUCACCAAGCCAACGAUCUGUAGCUGGUCUGAGAGGACGACCAGCAACACUGGGACUGAGACACGGCCCAGACUCCUACGGGAGGCAGCAGUGGGGAAUUUUGGACAAUGGGCGCAAGCCUGAUCCAGCAAUGCCGCGUGCAGGAAGAAGGCCUUCGGGUUGUAAACUGCUUUUGUACGGAACGAAAAGGUUUGGGUUAAUACCCUGGGCCGAUGACGGUACCGUAAGAAUAAGCACCGGCUAACUACGUGCCAGCCGCCGCGGUAA
rnacentral:rRNA from 1 species